rnacentral:rRNA from 1 species
AGUGAACGCUGGCGGUAGGCCUAACACAUGCAAGUCGAACGGCAGCACAGUAAGAGCUUGCUCUUACGGGUGGCGGGUGGCGGACGGGUGAGGAAUACAUCGGAAUCUACUUUUUCGUGGGGGAUAACGUAGGGAAACUUACGCUAAUACCGCAUACGACCUACGGGUGAAAGCAGGGGAUCUUCGGACCUUGCGCGAUUGAAUGAGCCGAUGUCGGAUUAGCUAGUUGGCGGGGUAACGGCCCACCAAGGCGACGAUCCGUAGCUGGUCUGAGAGGAUGAUCAGCCACACUGGAACUGAGACACGGUCCAGACUCCUACGGGAGGCAGCAGUGGGGAAUAUUGGACAAUGGGCGCAAGCCUGAUCCAGCCAUACCGCGUGGGUGAAGAAGGCCUUCGGGUUGUAAAGCCCUUUUGUUGGGAAAGAAAAGCAGCAGGUUAAUACCCCGCUGUUCUGACGGUACCCAAAGAAUAAGCACCGGCUAACUUCGUG